AGAGUUUGAUCCUGGCUCAGGAUGAACGCUAGCGGCAGGCUUAACACAUGCAAGUCGAGGGGCAGCAUGGGUGUUAGCAAUAACACCUGAUGGCGACCGGCGCAAGGGUGCGUAACGCGUGAGCAACUUGCCCGUUUCAGGGGGAUAACCGGUGGAAACGCCGACUAAUACCCCAUGGCAUCAUUUAAAGGCAUCUUUUUAUGAUUAAAGAAUUUCGGAAACGGAUAGGCUCGCGUGACAUUAGCUAGACGGCGGGGUAACGGCCCACCGUGGCGACGAUGUCUAGGGGUUCUGAGAGGAAGGUCCCCCACACUGGAACUGAGACACGGUCCAGACUCCUACGGGAGGCAGCAGUGAGGAAUAUUGGUCAAUGGUCAGACGACUGAACCAGCCAUGCCGCGUGAAGGAGACGGCCCUAUGGGUCUUAAACUUCUUUUGCGAGGGAGCAAUAAGGUCUACGUGUAGUCCGAUGAGAGUACCUCGCGAAUAAGCAUCGGCUAACUCCGUGCCAGCAGCCGCGGUAAUACGGGGGAUGCGAGCGUUAUCCGGAUUUAUUGGGUUUAAAGGGUGCGUAGGCGGCUUUUCAAGUCAGCGGUGAAAUUUAGGGGCUCAACCUCUACCGUGCCGUUGAUACUGGGAGGCUUGAAUGCGGAUGCCGUGGGAGGAAUGUGUGGUGUAGCGGUGAAAUGCGUAGAUAUUAGGAGGAACACCAGUGGCGAAGGCGGCUUACUGGACUGUAACUGACGUUGAGGCUCGAAAGCGUGGGGAGCAAACAGGAUUAGAUACCCUGGUAGUCCACGCCGUAAACGAUGAUUACUAGGUGUUGGGUAGUUAGACUAUUCGGUGCCGCAGCAAACGCCAUAAGUAAUCCACCUGGGGAGUACGACCGCAAGGUUGAAACUCAAAGGAAUUGACGGGGGCCCGCACAAGCAGUGGAGUAUGUGGUUUAAUUCGAAGCAACGCGAAGAACCUUACCAGGACUUGACAUCCCUCUGACCGCCUUAGAGAUAGGGCUUUCCUUCGGGACAGGGGUGACAGGUGGUGCAUGGUUGUCGUCAGCUCGUGUCGUGAGAUGUUGGGUUAAGUCCCGCAACGAGCGCAACCCCUAUUGCCGGUUGCCAUCAUUAAGUUGGGCACUCCGGCGAGACUGCCGGCGACAAGUCGGAGGAAGGUGGGGAUGACGUCAAAUCAUCAUGCCCCUUAUGUCCUGGGCUACACACGUACUACAAUGGCCGUAACAACGAGGAGCAAAAUCGCGAGAUGGAGCAAAUCUCCAAAUACGGUCCCAGUUCAGAUUGCAGGCUGCAACUCGCCUGCAUGAAGUCGGAAUUGCUAGUAAUCGCGGAUCAGCAUGCCGCGGUGAAUAC
rnacentral:rRNA from 1 species